CAAUGCGAAGCGAAGCAGUGAUGUGAAGCAAAUCGCACCAAAGCCAGUCCCAGUUCGGAUAAGAGGCUGAAACUCGCCUCUUUGAAGUCGGAAUCGCUAGUAAUCGCAGAUCAGCAUGUUGCGGUGAAUACGUUCCCGGGUCUUGUACACACCGCCCGUCAAACCAUGAGAGUCACCAACACCCGAAGUCCGCCUUGGCGGCCUAAGGUGGGGGAGAUGAUUGGGGUUAAGUCGUAACAAGGUAGC
rnacentral:rRNA from 1 species